rnacentral:rRNA from 1 species
AUACGAAGGGACCUAGCGUAGUUCGGAAUUACUGGGCUUAAAGAGUUCGUAGGUGGUUAAAAAAGUUGAUGGUGAAAUCCCAGAGCUUAACUCUGGAACUGCCAUCAAAACUUUUUAGCUCGAGUAUGAUAGAGGGAAGCAGAAUUUCUAGUGUAGAGGUGAAAUUCGUAGAUAUUAGAAAGAAUACCAAUUGCGAAGGCAGCUUUCUGGAUCAUUACUGACACUGAGGAACGAAAGCAUGGGUAGCGAAGAGGAUUAGAUACCCUAGUAGUCC